GACGAACGCUGGCGGCGUGCUUAACACAUGCAAGUCGAACGGAAAGGCCCUGCUUUUGUGGGGUGCUCGAGUGGCGAACGGGUGAGUAACACGUGAGUAACCUGCCCUUGACUUUGGGAUAACUUCAGGAAACUGGGGCUAAUACCGGAUAGGAGCUCCUGCUGCAUGGUGGGGGUUGGAAAGUUUCGGCGGUUGGGGAUGGACUCGCGGGUUAUCAGCUUGUUGGUGGGGUAGUGGCUUACCAAGGCUUUGACGGGUAGCCAGCCUGAGAGGGUGACCGGCCACAUUGGGACUGAGAUACGGCCCAGACUCCUACGGGAGGCAGCAGUGGGGAAUAUUGCACAAUGGGCGGAAGCCUGAUGCAGCAACGCCGCGUGCGGGAUGACGGCCUUCGGGUUGUAAACCGCUUUCGCCUGUGACGAAGCGUGAGUGACGGUAAUGGGUAAAGAAGCACCGGCUAACUACGUG
rnacentral:rRNA from 1 species